GUGCUCACUUCAGCAGCCCACAGGCUAACAUCGGAACCACACAGAGGAGAUUAGCAUGGCCCCUCGCAAAGGUGGCAUGCAAAUUUGUGAAGCGGUCCAUGUUUUC